UUUUUUUUUGUCUUUUUGCCAUUUCUUGGGCCGCUCCUGCGGCACAUGGAGGUUCCCAGGCUAGGGGUCCAAUCGGAGCUGUAGCCACCGGCCUACGCCAGAGCCACAACAACGCGGGAUCCGAGCCGUGUCUGCAACCCACACCACAGCUCACGGCAACACCGGAUCGUUAACCUACUGAGCAAGGCCAGGGACCAAACCCGCAACCUCAUGGUUCCUAGUCGGAUUCGUUAACCACUGCGCCACGACGGGAACUCCUGAUGGCUUUCUUGAGCGAUUAUUCAAUUAUUAACUUACAGUGGUCUCCCCAAAUUCCCUAGGUUUCCCUCUCUACCUGCUUCCGCGACUACCUGUGUAACAUCCUAUUCAAUCCCUAUCAACGCGACAGGUGCUCAAGAGAGCAGAGGUGGGAGGUGGGCACUGACAGAAGCCUGGAGGGAUGGAGGCUGGUGGGCAAAGCUUUUCCUCCUGCCUCUCUCUACUUGAUCCAGUGUCUCCCCUUGAUGAUUUCCUGGCAGCCCUGAAUAUUUGAUGCAGGUAUUUCCAGGAAUGAAAGAGAUGCGCUUCCUUCCCACCUGUCCCAGCAGCCUGAGGGAGGGCUUCUCUGGCUCCUGGAGAGGGUCAAGGGAGCCAGCAUGGCCAGGAGACAUGGGGUGUGGGAAUCCCACACGCCUGAGGUCAGCAGGAUGGUGAUGCCCGCCCCACUCCACCUCCACUCCGCAUCUUCCCAGCACAGGAGGGCAUCUUGCACCUGGGCUAAGCCCAGCCUAAACUGCUGACCUGGUCACCAAAACUAGAAGCCAAAAAUAAUGUCUGUUCUUUCAACCCCGGAGGCAAGAUAUUAACUCGGGGAGUCAGUGUAAGAACCUGGGCUGGAUACAUUCUUUGAUAUGGAUAUUGAUUAACUUUUGUGGCUCAAGGGCUCCAGGGAGUAACACCCCCACUGGCCUUGUUUUAUUAUAGGAAAUGUGCCUUCCCCACAGGCCUUGUUUACUAUAGGAAUACAACUCUCCAGCCCACUCCUCAACUGAUAGAAAAGGAAUGAGAGGAAUGGUGACUUAGUCUAAGGAAAGAAAAGGACAAAGAAACCAUAAAACUUCCACGGGACAUUUCCACGCCUAGAACCCCUAUUGGACCAGGACUGAUGGAGGUAACUGGGCAGGGCCAAUGGGAGAAAAUCACAUUUUUCUGGACCCCACGUUGGUACCUCCCCCCACCUUUAAGAGAUAAAAAUCCCUAUAGGACAAUAAAGAAGGGGGCUCUUCUCCCCCUCCCAGCAGCCCUGGGAGCUCUUUGCUUUCCUGUAAUAAAGACUUUGCUUGCUUGCUGCCUGUGUGUUCGUGGAGUUCAUUCUUCGACUGCCGUGAACAAGAACCCGGAUUCCGAUAACAUCUUUCCGUCAUCACCCCUAAGUUUUGAAAUUAAUGAUAGAGCAAGAGCUACCUGAUCGCCCAGUCCCCAGAGCCGUCCCUCCUCAAGGCUCCACGUUCUGAGAUAAUAAAUGUUCUUUGGGUUUGGGGUUUUGUUUGCUGGUUGGUUUUUCUUUUUAGGGCCACAUGUGCGGCAUAUGGAAGUUCCCAGGCUAGGGGUCAAAUUGGAGCUGCAGCUCCCUGUCUACACCACAGCCACAGCAAUGCCAGAUCUAAGCCACAUCUUCGACCCACACCACAGCUCACAGCAACGCCGGAUUCUUAACCCUCUGAGGGAGGCCAGGGAUCAAACCCACGUCCUCAUGGCUACUAGUCUGGUUCUUAACCUGCUGGGCCACAACAGGAGCUCCAAGGUUUUUUUUUUUGGGGGGGGGGUUACUUUGAAAUGCCACUCUUCGAUGCCAUCACUGUCAGCUCCCAGAUAGAGCACUGCUGGGGGCUGAAAAGAUGAGAUGAGGCCCCUGCCUUCAAGGAAAUGACAGGCCUGUUGAACUUAAGACACAUUUUCAACCAGGCUGUCAACUCUUUGAGGUGAGGGGCUGGCAAUAUCUGUGUCUGUGGAAAGGAUUUGAAUCUGAACACAGUAAUUUGCAGAGCGAUACAAGGUCACCCCUCUAGGGACACAGUGAGUGGGCCUGUCCCCCCAUAUGGAGGCCUCAUGAAGGAGGACAGGUGCCGGGUGGUCCUUGAAGGAGGUGUGAGACUCAGAGAGAUGGGGGUAUGAGGGGAGACAGAGAAAGGCAGGAUCCCCUCAGGCCCUGGAAAGAUGGCUGCUCCAUAGGGAUUUGUCCUGGGAACAGGUGAAUGGCCGGGAAGUGAGCUCAGAUGUGGUGAUUCAGGGCAUGAAAGACACCUACCAGAAGAAGAAGCGCUCUCUCAAGGCAGCUGGCAAAAUUCAUUCUACAGGGUCACGAGGCAUACCUGGCACAAGCCACUGUCCCCUGUAGCCAAGCUCCAGAAGCCUCUCAAAGGCUCAUUGUCUCAGGGGCCACCAGGCCAAUGCCCAUGACCUUGGAAGUGCCCAGGCCAGAAGAAUCUCUAUCCACUUGUGCAUCCCUGUGACCUUACCCAGCGGGCUUCCUGCAGGCCUGGGGUGGGGUCGCAGAGCAGGCCUUUAAUUGGAUUGUAGGCUAAAUGGACUUCCGAAGCCUGGAAGCGGAGUAAGAGAGGCACCUGCUUCUUCUAGUUGCUACACACUGCCCCAUCCCCCACUCCAUCUGUGCUGCCGGGGCCUCAGAGGAAUGAUGACGGGCUGCAGGGUGACAGCCGAGCUCUGCACAGGGCCGUCCCCCUCAGGGCCUGGAGACCAGGCAAAAGGAAGCCCCUGUCUUCUGCUCCCAGCUCUGAACACAAAGGCACCCGAUAAUUCCCAAACUAGAACCAAACCAGCUCCAGCAUUCAAGCACAGAGCAGCUAUUGCUCAUUUUGUUCAAGGAGCUGUCUUGCUUUUGCUGAGCAAUGCUCAUGGGCUAAAUAGAUCCCAGCUCCAUUAGAAAACCCUCACGGUUGUGCUGUAAAGUCAGUACCAUGGUCCCUGUGUUGUAGAGAGAAAGGUGUCUGAAUCAUGAACAUCUCCUACAGCAUUUCAGGUUUGGAGACGCCACGCUCCCAACCGAGAUGCUCUCUGGCCCUGGAAGGAUCCCACUGAAUCCAUCCAAACAGCCUCCUCUUUGCCGAAGGGUAAGAAGCAAGACUGACGAGCAGUUCCAGAGGCCAGGGAGGGAGUGACAGGGCUAACGUGGCCCAGAAUGGCUGGUUGGUGGGCUUUGGAUCUGAGGCAGGGAGUCUAGGGGGGAGGCCUUGCCCCGGGCAGCUGGGGAAACAGGGUCUUGAACCAGAAGUCAUUAGGAAAAGUCACACAUUUGCAUAGCAUCACCCCUAGGCUCCCUGAGGCGUUCCCGGGACCUUCCCCAGGGGGCAUGAGGCAGGGGUGGGGGUCAGACAUGAAUGUUCCCAUUGAAUGGAUGGGGAAAACUGAGGCACAGAGAGGAACUGCGGCACCCUAGCUACCCUGUAAAGUGUGGUAAAAUGCAGACGGAGAUCAGGCACCCGCGGGUGCCACAGUGUCACUCAGGAAAACCCUCAAGAGGCCCUCCCUCAUCAGCGGCUCUUAGAGAAAAGACUGUUUAAAAAAACCCUCAUCAAAGAGUCUUCAAGCCUAGAUUACAAAAUUUAAAAAAAGAAAGAAAAAACAGGUUAAUGGUCCUUUCAGUUUCCGAACUGCACCCGGGAGAGCUCAGAACGGUACAUCACAGUUUAUCAAGGCAACACAUGAAUGACAGUGUGAUGAGGACAGAGAUGAGGGGACAUGGGCGGAUGGGAAGGAGGGGUUCAUGACACAAGGAGAUGGCUUGGUCCAGGUGGUAACUCCCACCACCCCGGCACCUUACCAGUUAGAGCCACAGGCUGCAGCCCCAGGGCCUGAGCCGCACAACUGUUUGCUUAACUCAGCCAAAAAAAACCCUCUAACCGUGAAGCUGUCAGCAAAAGACUAAGGCUUCUUCCUUAUUCUAAACCACCUCUCGCAUCUCCCAGGAAAUGGGAGCGGGGGAACCCACGCUAGCAUCCAAUGUGUGCUUUGACCUGUCUGCAGGUGUAAGGUGGAGUCUCUAUAGAAAGCCUUCAACUGCAAUCCUAAGUCAGAUUUCCAGGAAGGGGGGGCAGUGGCUAGAGAGGAUUGGGGGAUGUGUGAGAGACAAAUACGCUGUCAGCAGCUAGCUCCUCUGCCCUUCUGACACGGCAUCAUCUGAGAGGCACCUCUCUUCUGAUAAGCAGUAGAGCCAGGUGCUCGAUUCCAUUCAGCUGUUUCUCCCGGCUCUGUGGUUCCCCUUUGCCACUUCCUCUGUGCAGGAAGGCACUUGCACCAAAAGAGUAUUCGGCUCUGUGAAGGAGCCUUCCUGGAAGCCAGAGAGAGUCAGGAGAUCAGAAUGACAGGACCAAAGACUGGUGUCUACUGUGCCAAGUCACAUCUGGAAAAAUCCAUUGGCCCCUUUGGUCCAGGACUGACUCUCACAAUCUCCAAAUGGCCAAGGGUAACUGUAGUUUCUCUAAUUCCAUCCAAGAUUAGGGAUGAAUCACAGCUUUUGAGGCUGUGCAGCUGAAGGCUCUCCCAAGGGUCUUCUGCAAGAGGGCCAGUCUAUGAACAGGGCACUGGAGGAAAACAACUGGAUGAGCCAUGUUUUGGUCCACCAGCUUCUGCUAGUUACCAUGUGGCCGCAAGCUAAGACAGGUGCAUGCCCCAAAGCCAAGGAUGCAGGAGAAAUGGGGCCCAGGUAUGCCUGGUUUCUGUGCUGUCAACAUCACUCUUCCUAGAGAUCUUCUAAGUCCCAGACAUGAAAAGUCAGAGUCUUGAAGGAAGGUCAGAUGGAAAUCUCAUCCAUGUGACAGAAGAUGGGCACAAAUGGAUGGCACCGUUAGAAUUUCAAAAAUGUCACUUAGAUGGAUAAACCUUGGAUGCUGCAGGGGUCAAGUAACAAGGCUGACGGUCCAGGCGUGUGGUCCUGGCACCAACCACCGGGUGUCGGGGAGGGAGUUGGGAAGUCACCUGGAGCUUGGGGGGUGAGCAGUGGAGAGUGAGAAGGAAACCCGAAGGGACUUCCGUGUCUUCCGUGCAGGCAUCAGUCAAACCUCGGUGAGCAUCCUCUUCUCCGCGUACCCCCGAUGUGGAGUGGGAAGGUAGCUGGGUCUCCGCUCCCGGGUGGCCUCAGGGAAUUCAGGUUUGCCAAGUCCAUUGUCAGCUGCCUUCAGGUCCGGGGUGGGCUGCCCACAAGUGACGUGGGUAUACUGGCCCUGCUCCUCUUGCUCCGUCUCCCGGUGGUAGAAGUAGUUGAAGUUGGAGACAAUGACGGGCACAGGCAGGGCGAUGGUGAGGACCCCGGCGAUGGCACACAGCGAGCCCACGAUCUUGCCCCCCACUGUCAUGGGGUACAUGUCCCCAUAGCCCACGGUGGUCAUGGUAACCACGGCCCACCAGAAGGCAUCCGGGAUGCUGGGAAAGAGCGAAUCGACAUCGUCCGCCUCGGCGAAGUAGACGGCGCUGGAGAAGAGGAUGACGCCGAUGAAGAGGAAGAAGAUGAGCAGGCCCAGCUCCCGCAUGGAGGCCUGCAGGGUCUUGCCCAGGAUCUGCAGCCCCUUGGAGUGGCGGGAGAGCUUGAAGAUGCGGAACACGCGGACCAGGCGGAUCACUCGGAGGAUGGCCAGCGACAUGGCCUGCUGCCCGUUCUGGCCCCCCCCUCCACUGGCUGACUGCUGCUCCUGCUGCUGCACCAGCUCGGUGCCCAGGGUGAUGAAGUAGGGGAAGAUGGCCACCAAGUCGAUGAUGUUCAUGAUGUUGCGGAAGAAGGCUGGCUUGCUGGGGCAGGCGGAGAAGCGCACCAGCAGCUCGAAAGUGAACCAGACAAUGCACAGCGUCUCCACCAGAAAGAAGGGGUCCGUGAAGAAGGAACCCCCGAAAGUGCUUAGGGAGGAUGAGCCCCCUGCCACCAUGCCGCCGGGGGUGAUGCCUGGGUGGAAUGUGUAGGAAUCGUCUUCCUCCUCCUCUUCCUCCUGACUGCCCCUGGACACGGGGGAGCCUCUACCCACACCACCUCCAUUGCUUCCACCUCGACCAUCUGCACGGAACUGGGGCAGCGUCUCCAGGCAAAAGAUGACGAUGGAGAUGAGGAUGACCAGGACCGAGACGAUGGCGAUGACCCGGGCGGGCCCCGAGCUCUCGGGGUACUCGAAGAGCAGCCACACCUGGCGCUGG
rnacentral:lncRNA from 1 species